rnacentral:lncRNA from 1 species
CCCCCGCCUCCCCGGGCGCGAGAGGGCCAGCGUCCGGACGUCUGUAGGUGUAGGCGGGAGCGGAGGCUGCCGCUCGGGAGAAAAACGAAAUGGGAGGAGAGGGGUUUUCUGUGCUGGACGCUUUCGGAAGCCCAAAGACAGCAGGCCUGUAAUGAACGGGGUUUGUCGAGUCACCCAGGGCAGACCCAGGAACUAAGCGCACAGCUGUUGACUUACACGGCUGAACCUUCACAGUUCUUUACCUUCUUCCAGGAGUAGCAGAAAAUGAACAUAGCUCAGGUGAGUUCAGUUUUUAAUAGCUUGCUUGUGUUACAAGGGAUUUUAUAAGGGCUUACGUGUCUCUCCGUCAACAUGGAAGAGUAGAAAUAGAAAUGGAUCAGAUGCAUUCAGAGAAGACACAGAAAUACAGUUGAAGAGCAGAGCAAAGGUGGCAGGUGGGUACAUGCAGGUCCUCUGACAUUGCAGAUGUACUACGUUGGAGUUCCAGGUUUAUUUCUGAGGUUUGUGAUAGCCGUGGCAGGGUAUCAGGCGUGAUAUUUCUUUCAAGGUUAACGUUGGUGAGAAGGUAAAGCAAACUGAUUCCUCAUAGACUAUAAAGACAAUUGAAGGUGAAGAAUAUCUUUGUUGUUUUCAACUACGUGAUUUAGUUAACAGCUUCCAGUAGUAACCCUAAGAUAACAUAGGACGUUGCCUCCACUUGUGCUUCAGUAAAGGUAGAAGAGGUAACGCUGAAGUGAGCUCAGUCAGUACUGUUUUUCACAAACUCCAACACAGGGAUUGCAGGAGACAUUUUUCUGAUGGACCAACUGACUAUCCUUAAGAUUACUCUCCAUAAAUAUUUCGAGUACCCGUGAUUUUCAGGACAGUUUAAAACGGUCAGCCCAGCAGACAGUUUAAAAUUCUGUUCUCCUUCAAGUGUUUCAACACUUUCAGUCACGCUCUAAACCUUUUCAUGAGGCCUUGGUCUCUCUCCCCACUUACCUGUGAUCUCCAGUGACCAGAGACUCGAUUAUGAUCAAAUCCAUUGGGUCUUGCCUGAUCCUUUGCUUACUUGACUUUUCUGUAGCACUUGCCUCUACUUCUCACUCUGUCCUUCUGGAAAGUGUCUCUGUGAGUGUCUGUGACACCUUCCACUGGCUCUGUCCUUCUCCUGCUGAUAUCUUCAUGGAGUCGUCGUCUUUCCCUUGUCCUUGCACAUGGCUCAUCCCCAGUUUCCCUCUUUGGCCCUUUAAUCUCGUCUGUUGUCUUGGAAUGAUUUCAUUUUCUCUCAUUUUUUUCUUUAAACAGCUUUAUUGAGAUUCCGCUCACAUACCAUGCCAUUCACCCAUUUAAAAUGUA